rnacentral:rRNA from 1 species
UACGGGGGGGGCAAGCGUUGUUCGGAAUUACUGGGCGUAAAGGGCGCGUAGGCGGCCUUCUAAGUCAGACGUGAAAUCCCUCGGCUCAACCGGGGAACUGCGUCUGAGACUGAAAGGCUUGAAUCCGGGAGAGGAAUGCGGAAUUCCAGGUGUAGCGGUGAAAUGCGUAGAUAUCUGGAGGAACACCGGUGGCGAAGGCGGCAUUCUGGACCGGCAUUGACGCUGAGGCGCGAAAGCCAGGGGAGCAAACGGG